CGGCGGACGGGUGAGUAACACGUGGAUAACCUACCUAUAAGACUGGGAUAACUUCGGGAAACCGGAGCUAAUACCGGAUAAUAUAUUGAACCGCAUGGUUCAAUAGUGAAAGACGGUUUUGCUGUCACUUAUAGAUGGAUCCGCGCCGCAUUAGCUAGUUGGUAAGGUAACGGCUUACCAAGGCAGCGAUGCGUAGCCGACCUGAGAGGGUGAUCGGCCACACUGGAACUGAGACACGGUCCAGACUCCUACGGGAGGCAGCAGGU
rnacentral:rRNA from 1 species